AUUGAACGCUGGCGGCAUGCUUUACACAUGCAAGUCGAACGGCAGCGCGGGCUUCGGCCUGGCGGCGAGUGGAGAACGGGUGAGUAAUGCAUCGGAACGUGCCCAGGUGUGGGGGAUAGCCCGGCGAAAGCCGGAUUAAUACCGCAUACGACCUGCGGGUGAAAGCGGGGGAUCGAAAGGCCUCGCGCUAUUGGAGCGGCCGAUGUCGGAUUAGCUAGUUGGUGGGGUAAAGGCUUACCAAGGCGACGAUCCGUAGCUGGUCUGAGCGGACGACCAGCCACACUGGGACUGGGACACGGCCCAGACUCCUACGGGAGGCAGCAGUGGGGAAUUUUGGACAAGGGGGGCAACCCUGAUCCAGCCAUGCCGCGUGCGGGAAGAAGGCCUUCGGGUUGUAAACCGCUUUUGUUCGGGAAGAAAUCCUCUGGGCUAAUACCCCGGGGGGAUGACGGUACCGGAAGAAUAAGCACCGGCUAACUACGUG
rnacentral:rRNA from 1 species